rnacentral:sRNA from 2 species
AGGACCGGUAAGCCGAAUCCGCGGGCCGAAAAACCGCGGAGCGGGGGAACCGAUUUUGGGGCGAAUCCACCGGAGGACGGUGGGAGCGCAGGCUCCUUCAGCGCCAGCCCGACAGCUAACCCCGCAGGCCGACAAAGGAGAUCGG